GCAGAGCUGGGGAGUACAGGGGGCUCUCUGUGAUGUCCUGUGUCUGUCGAUGUGUCCCUGCCCGCCCCUGGCUGGUCCAGCAGCAUGCGAAGGGUUGCCAGGGCUGUUGGAGAGGAGGGCUGUGCCUGGGCCAGCUGGGGGUGAUGCUUUAGCAUGUGGGGUGCUGCAGCACAAGGACUUACUUGUAUCCUUGUGAUAGGCACCCACUCCAAAGAAGGAGCGAAAACUGCUGAAGGUCCCAGGUGGAGGCACCAGCAUAGCUCUGGGGCUCCACAUCCUGCAUUGGCAUCCCUCCCCACCCCAUGGGAUGCUGUCACAGGCUGUAGGGAGCCCGUAGCUGGAUACAGAUGAGGUUGCUCCAGGAGGACAGAGCACAUAGUAAAUGGUCUAAACC